AAAGAGCGCGCCGGGGCGUUGGUGCGGGGAGCUGGUGAGGUGCUGCGCUGUGGGGUCCGCGCUAAUUGGGUCCCUUCCCCAGGUGCGGCGAGACAGCGAGGCCCUUGCUUCCCCUCCCGUGGCCCCGGGGCGGAGACCCCUGCCGCACACCCGAGAGCCUUUGGUGAAAUGGAGACCUUUCACCCCGCUUUGCAGAGAAGGAAACGUUCACGGAGUUGGAAUUCCCCUCCGCCCCAAACCCACAUUCCUGGGACAGCAAGGCCUUGAGAUGGAACUCAGGAAGCCAUCGGAUUCCAUCAACGUCAUCACCCCUGAGUUUGCUGCAAGCAGCCAUGGAAACGUCCCAAGUCCGCACCUGCAGGCUCAGUGAGGUUGCUCAAGCCCAGGAACUAACUGAGCUCUCAAACGUAAGAAGGCGUCUCCUCCUGGCUGCACCUGGGAGGCUCAAAGCUGUCCUGAGUCUGCAGCAGCCAGCUCGGGAUGAGAAAGGGUUCACGUGGCAGUUCAUGCCUAUAAUCCCAGCACUUUGGGAGGCUGAGGCAGGAGGACCGCUUGAGCCCAUGAGUUCGA